ensembl:lncRNA
CUUCAACCACUACUGUCAGAAAACCAACGGUUCCUGACUUUAAACUGUGGAGAAGAGCGGACCGUCACACGACCCUCAGUGAGUCUACAGACAAAUGAGAAGAUCAACCAACUGUCAUUAAAUGUCACUGAAAAAAAAUUGACCUAUUUUGUCCCACACAGAUUUGUUUAUAAAGUAUUGAUUGAACCAGAGUAGAAUACCCAAUGGUUGGGUAAGACCGCCAAACAGGCCACAACACAACUGCUCAGUUAGCAUGGUCUGCUCUUCAAGAACAGUCUGACUGGAACAGCCAGGUAGACGUUUACGUCAUCAGUACACUGGUUAUUAACAGCAGGCCCAGAUUCAAUCCGAUCGGCUGUAGAUAUGUGUUAGAGCCGCUUACGCCGAUUAAGCUGACAUACGCAGCGUUACUUUGAAUGUGAAACACAGAAACAUUCCUUUUAAAACUGAAAUGUGCGAUCGGAUGAAUCCCGGCCUAAGCAAAUUUCCCCUCGGGGCCCAGGCAUUAACGUUCAUCCCUCGGGCCCAGGACAUUAACGUUCAUCCCUCGGCCCAGGCAUUAACGUCAUCCUCGGCCAGGACAUUAACGUUAUCCCUCGGGCCCAGGACAUUAACGUUCAUCCCUCGGCCCAGGACAUUAACUUUCAUCCCCUCGGCCCGGACAUUAACGUUCAUCCCCUCGGGCCCAGGACAUUAACGUUCAUCCCCCUCGGGCCAGGCAUUACGUCAUCCCUCGGCCCAGGACAUUAUCGUUCAUCCCUCGGGCCCAGGGACAUUAACGUUCAUCCUCGGGCCCGGGACAUUAACGUUCAUCCCUCGGGCCCGGACAUUAACGUUCAUCCCUCGGGCCCAGGCAUUAACGUUUCAUCCCUCGGGCCCAGGACAUUAACGUUCACCCCUCGGGCCGGGACAUUAACGUUCAUCCUUCGGCCAACAGCCUUUCCUGAAAAUAGCCUCUCUAGUUUCAAAUGUUUAUAUUCUCUACAAUGUAAAGUAGACAAGUGUCUGUCUGUCUCUGUUGACUGUGUUCUUUAUCUCUAUGUUGUGGUUUAUAGGUGUCUUGCAGAUCAACAGUUUCAGAAGAUGGAGGACUAUCCUCUCUAACCCCCUCCAGUACAUGGUAAGAUGGAGACUAUCCUCUAUACCCCCCUCCAGUACCUGUAAGAUGGAGGACUAUCCUCUCUAGCCCCCCCCGUACAUGGUAAGAUGGAGGACUAUCCUCUCUAGCCCCCUCCAGUACAUGGUAAGAUGGAGGACUAUCCUCUCUGCCCCCUCCAGUACUGGUAAAGUAUGGAGCAACACUGUCUGCGUGCAGCUCAACUGAAAAUAAAACAUUAUUUGGAAUUGAAUAUCAGUGUGAAAACCAUGAAAGCCUUAGACUGAAGGUGUUUUUAUGUCUAUUGUAACAGCAAAUCAUCAAUUUCCUUUGAAAUGGACAAUAAAGUAUAUAUUUAUUUUCAAUUCUCCCAGGAAUCCCAGGAUGCACACCAUCAUCCUGAGUAUUCCAGGAAGUACCAGUGAGUCCAUCAUAUUCGCAGACUCCGUUAACGUCAGCUCCCCCAAGGUACAGAUCCUGUUGUUGUUGCUAUAGCUUCAGCUCAACGAAUCACAGGAUGUGAGUGGUGAUACUGUCAACAUAAACGUGUAUUGUCUCUUUAAGCAUGGUGGAAGACAUUGGGUAUUUUUGUGACAGCAAAUCAAUAUCUGGUCUGUUUUGUCUAUUCUAUAAGCGGUUGAAAGCCCUGUAAUGUGAAGCCUAAAUAAGGUAGACCCAAUUCAAGACUCUUCUUCAAGAUGAAGUGUUUUUUUUAUACUCUAAUACCUGGACUAUCUGACCUCUGACCUUCCUUUAGAACUAGACCCACCCUGAGUCACCGUCAAGACCAAACAGGUACUAGUCCAAGAUACAAAAAAAAAAAAAAAAAAACAAACCUUCUGAGAAAAGGAUGAUGUGAUUGGUUGAAUGAUUUAAUUGAUUUGACAGAUAAAAACCCACUGACCUAUUUCCUGUGUGGUCCAAGAUGGAAAUAAUUAUCUUAAUUAUACACUUACUUACAGCUGUGGUGAAAUGUAUUGCCACUUUUCUUAAAUCAUUCCAAAUUCUUCUUUAAAUAAGUUAAAAUAGAAAAAUAACUAUUGUAUUUUUUGUAAAUGUCAGUUUUAAAAACUAUAUAUAUGAUAUGUGAUUGGCACCUCUGAGUUACUACACAGCCUUUGGCCAAGAUGACUGCAGACAGACUUAUUGUAGGCACCUUUCUACUGGCAGUUUGGCCCCCUCUUCAGCGACAACCUGCUCUAAAUCUUCAACGUUUGAGGGGUUUCCUCCGCCAACUGCUGUUUUUAGAUCUGACCAUAGGUUCUGGAUGUGAUUCAGGUCUGGACUCUUCACUGGUCACUCCAGAACCUUUGAACAUCUCUUCUGUGCUUUUUGACGUGUGUUUGACGUGUGUUUGACAUGUGUUUGCGGUAGUUGUCCUGCUGGAAGACCCACAAACUUCAAUGGAGACCUCAGUUUUUGGACACCGGGUUGAACAUUGAACUCCAAAAUACCUGAUAAUCUGCUGAGUUAAUGAUGCCUUGCACACAUUCAAGGCCCCCAGUACCAGAGGUAGCAAAACAUUUUCUGCAAUGUAGAAAAUCAAAUAAAAAGAUGUAGAAACCAAACAGUCUUUUCAAUUUCAACUUGUUUGACAAGAUAUAGUUAAAUAUUUAAGAAAAGUACAAGGAUGCCAAUAUAUUUGGCUGCAACUGACAAUGUGAUUACUGUUAUGGUAACUGAACCACAACUACAGGUUUGCUCUUCAGGCAGUUUGUUGUGGAGGCUACGCUAUAAAGAUACUAUAUAGCAGGGAUCGGCAACUGCCGCCUUUUGAAGGCCCUCGGAUCAAAAGAGAAUUAUUAUUGAAUUUUGGUGGGAAUUCAGUUGGGGUCUCAACUUACUAGAAUAGCGGAAUACACAAGGUGAAAUUUCUAAAUGUGGUUGUGCAUCAGCAGUUUUUCUCGUUAUGUCAGUCACUGAUCGUCAGCCAGCUAACAUUUUUUUAGACAGCUGGCCCGCUAAACUAACUCAGCAAUCUAAACUUGUUAUCAUGGUCGAAUUACUGGUCGUUGGGCCCCCAUUUUAUUUUGUUAGUCAAUCUCACUCAGAUAUCAUAUUUAAAACUACAAAAAAAAAUGUCUCCACCCUAUGGCAAAAUGUGUAGAAUUGCAUCAAACUUGCUUUAAAACCGCAACAUUUGCUCUACACUCUAUGGCAAAAUGUGUAGAAUUGCGUCAAACUUGCUUUAAAACCGCAACAUUUGCUCUAAACUCUAUGGCAAAAUGUGUAGAAUUGCAUGAAAUUUACUCCACAAUAGGGUUUCCGUUAUGAAAAUGUGGCUCUGGACAUUUGACCUGCAGCAUUUCAAUUUACCGGACAUUGUGAGAAAUGUACUAGACCCAUAUGCAUUGGGUUACRCAACCUGAUUAGAGUGUCCACCCAUCCGAAGGACAAGCUAUUCCAUUUACAUUAUGGUCAUUCAUCUGAACAGAACAUGGAGGUCGAGGAUGCAAUGAUGUGUUUUGUCCUUACCGCGCGUGAAGAUGUUACAAUUACUGCCCACAUUUAACUUUCCCUCAGCUAAACAGGACGUUUAACGAACAGCAAAAUCACUAGCCGAUGCGUACACCUUUAUAAUAAAGCAUUCUCAGUCUUAUGUAUGAUAGCCGACUGUUCUUAAUGUGAUAAGUAGACAGGAAUUUAAUCAUUUCCGCUAAUAAUAUAACUCAAUCACUGUUUGCAAAAAAAAAUAAUAAUAAAUGCAUGACUGAGCUCGUAUAACGUAGGCUAUAUAGUUAUAUCAGAUAUACAGUGCCUUGCGAAAGUAUUCGGCCCCCUUGAACUUUGCGACCUUUUGCCACAUUUCAGGCUUCAAACAUAAAGAUAUAAAACUGUUGGGAAAAAUUGGGCGUGCAAAAUUAUUCGGCCCCCUUAAGUUAAUACUUUGUAGCACCACCUUUUGCUGCGAUUACAGCUGUAAGUCGCUUGGGGUAUGUCUCUAUCAGUUUUGCACAAAACUAAACUUUUAAGUGGCACUGAGCACCGAUGAGGAAGAGGGAAUACUGGGGAUAUGGCCGAUGCUCUCUGCUGCCAAUUAAAUAGGCCUGUUGUUGUUUGCUCAAUGCUCAAUAAAGUUGAGAAUUUUGGUAACUAAUACAGUCUUUUCAUUCUGUUCUCUUUACAGAAAUAUACAUUUUCUUUUCCAAACUAAGUUUUCCUGUGAUUGAAUGUAUUAAUAUUGUGAUUUGCCUGGUUUGGCGCCUCUACUUUUCAGAGACAGUCACAACUCAACUGCGCCUUUCCUUUCAACGGUAGGGAAUGCGAUUUCAAAUCAUCCACAAUUUAACAAUAAUUAUGGCUAGGAGAAGCUCUUGAUCCUCUGUGGCAAAAUCAUGCUUCAGUAGCCUAUGCUGUAUAUUUAAUUCACUUAGGAAAAGCUUCCCCUGUCCUCAUGGCUACACGCGAAUGUGCAUUUGGCAGACCAUGAGAGACAGUUGAAAACCAAUAGAACAGGAGAGAAAUAGGCUACUGGUUCCAAUGAAAUAUGGAAGUCUGUCUAAAACAACUGCCUCCACGGAUAAGGUCAGAUUUUGCCUGGGUUACUUUGAAACAGGGUAAAACAUGUAGUAAAUGGUUCAUUUAAUAAGAAAAAAUGAAGUAGCAAAAUGCAUACGGUCUCCAGCUCUUUGAAAAAUGGUGUGUGACGCACCGAUGACACCUUCCUUCUGCAUUUGAAUUGUGAAUGGGAAGCACGCUUCCAUUACCAUUAAAAAAAAACAGCUAUUUUUAAUUGUGGCCCAGAAAACUAUUUUUUGACACACGAUUGCAUUUACAAUUGUUGCUGCAGUGAUUGGUGUUAUAAAAGCGCUGUCUGACAGAUUUCCCCUCAAACGCUCUAUAUCUGUAUGCUUUACGCGUGUGAUUAAUAAAAUACAGUGCCUUAGGAAAGUAUUCAGACCCCUUGACGUUUAACACAUUUUGUUACGUUAAAGCCUUAUUCUAAAAUGGAUUCAAUAGUUUUUUCCCACCUCUUCAA